rnacentral:misc_RNA from 1 species
GCAAACUUGGUCAUUUAGAGGAAGUAAAAGUCGUAACAAGGUUUCCGUAGGUGAACCUGCGGAAGGAUCAUUAUCGAUUCAAUUGGAUGUGCUGACUAGUGUGCGCUAGUACUGUGCACUCCAUAACCUCCUACCCUUGUGCACUAUUCCCAUUGGCAAUUUGAAAGAAACUAGAAGUCUGUAAAGAUUUCCAAGUAAUUUCAUUGUCUUUGGUUUUUAAUUACACUAUAAAUAUUAUGAAUGUAUCAUAGACUUGUUCAUUCAAGUCAAUAUUAUUAAAACAACUUUCAACAACGGAUCUCUUGGUUCUCGCAUCGAUGAAGAACGCAGC